rnacentral:rRNA from 1 species
AUUGGAGUCUGCAACUCGACUCCAUGAAGCUGGAUUCGCUAGUAAUCGCGCAUCAGCCAUGGCGCGGUGAAUACGUUCCCGGGCCUUGUGCACACCGCCCGUCAAGCCAUGGGAGUCGGGAGUGCCUGAAGUUCGUGACCGUCACAGGAGCGACCUAAGGCAAGACCGAUGACUGGGGCUAAGUCGUAACAAGGUAGC